rnacentral:lncRNA from 1 species
CAUUUUUAAUAUGUUAAACAGUUAUAAUAUUUUCAAUCAUGUGGUGUAUAAACAUUUUCGCUAUUUUUUUGUGUUUUAUUUUAUUUAUUUUUUUUUUUUUCGCCAGAUAAAAAAAUAUUAUGGUAUACUUUUGAAAAAAAAACAAAAAAAAAAUUAAAAUAAACUAAAAGUGUGUGAACAUAUUACUAUACCAUUAAAAGUUUUUUAAACCAUAACAAUUAAAUGAUGUUAAAUGAUUAGUGUUAUAUUUAUUUUAUUUUACUCAUUUUUUAUAUUAUGUUGUGCUAUACGAUUAUACACGGGAUAAAAUUUAUUAUGUUAUUACGUUUUCGAUGAUGAAUUAGUAUAUAAUAAUGACUUUUCAAAACAUUGAAUAUGCAUGUAUAUAUAUUAUCUACUUGUUAAAUACGUUUACGUGAACUUAAUAGAUAUAUACAUCGUUCAACAGAAGAAUCAUUAUUUUUUUUUUUCUAUUUGUCCGUUUUUGUAACAUUUUUGUAAUAGUUGUAAUAUAUUUUAUUAGUUACGUACUAUUAUUAUAGAACUUAUUCGAAUGUGAGUUGCACAAAAAUUUUUGGCAUGCUUUUUAUGAUGAUGUCACGGUUCAACGUAAAAAUAACAUGUUAAGUUUUAAAAUAAAAUUGACCCUUUUUUUUUUUUUUUUGUUUUCUUCUAUUGUUUCUAUCAUAAAUACUGAUAACUAUGUAAAUAAUAAUGACAAAAAACUGAGAAAUAUUUUUACUCGAGUAGCUUAUGCAAAUAUUUUUCACAAAUAUGUCAAAAAAAAGGUUAUUCAGUUUGAUUAUCCAUUGGGUUACUCAUUAAACUAUCCGAUUAGUUGUCCAUUUAGUGAAAAAGUAAAAAAGACUACAUUUGAUUGCGUAAAAACAAACGGUUUAAAAAAUAGUAACAAAUUGUUUUACUUAUGGAGUAAUAAUAUACCUAAAAUAUAUACAAAUACAAAAAUAGGAAAUCAAAAGAUAUAUACUGAAGAAACGUAUUAUAUAAUAGAAAAAUUGCAGAGAAUGAGUAAAAACAUAAACUAUUUCGAUUUAUCACAAAUCAAUACAUAUUGUUCGUUUUAUAAAUUAUAUGUAAAUGACUUAUUACAUAAUAAUGAUGAAAAAAAAGUCGAUCAUACAAAUGCAACUACUACUACAUUUAAUAGUGGCACUACAAUGAAUCAUACCGAUUUGAAAAAUAUACACAAACGAUAUUUCAUAAAAACUGAUCAUUUAAAUAGUGAUCCAAUGGAAGAAAAUACAUAUAUUUUUAUUAUAGGAGAAAAAAAGGAAAAGUUAAAAACAGAUUCACCAUUAUUUGAUCAAAUUUUUAAAUCUUACAGUAAUGUUUUAUAUUCUUAUUAUAUUAUAUUUAUGAAUAAAAUACUAGAUCAUACGUUUGUUUUUUUCCGUAAAGAACAGAGAACAAAUAGUAAUAAAUUUGAUAAUGACAUUAGCACAAACAUUAACAAUAGUAAUAACAUACCCAAUUACAAUAACAAUAUUUUUCAUAACAAUUAUAUAAAUAAUAAUUACAUAAUUUAUAAGAAUGAGGUUAUUUAUCCAUUCAAAUUGAAUGAUAUGGAUAGUGUCAGCCGUUAUAAUAAUACUAAUAAUGUUAGCAGUACAAAUGGCAAUACAAAUGGCAAUACAAAUGGCAAUACAAAUGGCANNNNNNNNNNUACAAAUGGCAAUACAAAUGGCAAUACAAAUGGCAAUACAAAUGGCAGUACAAAUGGUAGCACAAAUAAUUAUGAUACAACUUAUAAUUAUUCAUCCGAGUUUUAUAUAAUUGAAAUUUGUCAUUGUUUUAAUGGUAUAACAUACAAACAACAUAUAUACAGUUUGAUCAAAAAAUUAUCCAACCUUUAUUUUAAUAUAGAAUUAGUUCCUUAUAUUUUCCAUUUACCUCCAGUUUUUUUCCAUAUAGUGAUUAUUCUAAUAUCUUCAAUAUGUUUUUCUUACAUUUUUUAUAAACUUUUUUGUAAAUAUAAAAACUGUUUUUAAGUUAGAAACAAGCCGCAGUAUCAACAAAUAUAUGAUGUGGUACUUUCAAAGU